GUUUCUGCCCUUAGUUUUACCAUCCGAGGACAUAUUUAACCGCUGGGAUUAGCUCGUUGUGCGUGACUUCAACCAAGACCAUCGAGGUAAAGGCAAGGCGCCAAUGUACGGUUGACGGCGGAGCU